rnacentral:rRNA from 1 species
AGUUAGCGGCGGACGGGUGAGUAACACGUGGGUAACCUGGCAAAAGAUUGGGAUAACUCCGGGAAACCGGGGCUAAUACCGAAUAAUCUUUUUUACUUCAUGGUUCAAAAUUGAAAGGCGGCUUCGGCUGUCACUUAUGGAUGGACCCGCGUCGCAUUAGCUAGUUGGUGAGGUAACGGCUCACCAAGGCAACGAUGCGUAGCCGACCUGAGAGGGUGAUCGGCCACACUGGGACUGAGACACGGCCCAGACUCCUACGGGAGGCAGCAGUAGGGAAUCUUCCACAAUGGACGAAAGUCUGAUGGAGCAACGCCGCGUGAGUGAAGAAGGUUUUCGGAUCGUAAAACUCUGUUGUUAGGGAA